AGUUUUAUAUUCUAUUCAAGAUUUUAAAUUGCAAAUUUAAAGAUGACAAAAUCUAAAGCUU
rnacentral:tRNA from 1 species